rnacentral:tRNA from 1 species
AAUGCCAGCGUGUCUGGCUUACCCUGGGUGGUGCCUUUGGCAUCACGGGGCGCCGUCAACAUAUCCCUUCCUGCGAUGAGAAACCCGUUUGGGCUAGUAGCUCAGUUGGUUAGAGCACACGCUUGAUAAGCGUGGGGUCGGAGGUUCAAGUCCUCCCUGGCCCACCAUUCUGGGCGCACCCUGGUUUGUGGGGUGGUUGUGCCUUUUGGGGGCGUAGCUCAGCUGGGAGA